rnacentral:rRNA from 1 species
AUUGAACGCUGGCGGAAUGCUUUACACAUGCAAGUCGAGCGGCAGCGCGGGGCAACCUGGCGGCGAGCGGCGAACGGGUGAGUAAUGCAUCGGAACGUACCCCGUCGUGGGGGAUAACUACCCGAAAGGGUAGCUAAUACCGCAUACGACCUGAGGGUGAAAGCGGGGGACCGAAAGGCCUCGCGCGAUGGGAGCGGCCGAUGCCGGAUUAGCUAGUUGGUAGGGUAAAGGCCUACCAAGGCCACGAUCGGUAGCUGGUCUGAGAGGAUGAUCAGCCACACUGGGACUGAGACACGGCCCAGACUCCUACGGGAGGCAGCAGUGGGGAAUAUUGGACAAUGGGCGCAAGCCUGAUCCAGCAAUGCCGCGUGUGUGAAGAAGGCCUGCGGGUUGUAAAGCACUUUCAGUGGGAAGGAACAGAUUCGGGUCAAUACCCCGGAGCCCUGACGUUACCCACCAGAAGAAGCACCGGCUAACUCCGUGCCAGCAGCCGCGGUAAUGUG